UACGUAGGGCGCAAGCGUUGUCCGGAUUCACUGGGUGUAAAGGGUGCGUAGGCGGGAAGGUAAGUCCGCGGUGAAAUCUCACAGCUCAACUGUGAAACUGCCGUUGAUACUGCUUUUCUUGAGUUCGGGAGAGGUUGAUGGAAUUCCAGGUGUAGCGGUGAAAUGCGUAGAUAUCUGGAAGAACACCAGUGGCGAAGGCGGUCAACUGGCCCGUAACUGACGCUGAGGCACGAAAGCGUGGGUAGCGAACAGG
rnacentral:rRNA from 1 species